rnacentral:lncRNA from 1 species
AUGUGUGUCCCCCAGAACAGAAGGCACUGCAAGCUUUAUGCUAAGACAGCCUCAAUUCUGAUUUUCAAGGGCUCUGAUGGCAGAAGUGGACAUGCAAUGCACCUUUCUAUUUCAAAGGUGGCUGAAUGGAGGCUCCAGUAGAUUAUAUCAUCUUGUUAUGCUGUAAUAAGAAUUUUACCAUUAAAACAAUAAAUUGCAUUUGGAGAAGUGUGCCUUUUCA